AUACGGAGGGUGCGAGCGUUGUUCGGAAUCACUGGGCGUAAAGGGCGCGCAGGCGGUUUGUCAAGUCAGAUGUGAAAGGCCACGGCUCAACCGUGGAGGUGCAUCUGAAACUGGCAGACUUGAGUACCGGAGGGGAAAGUGGAAUUCCCGGUGUAGAGGUGAAAUUCGUAGAUAUCGGGAGGAACACCGGAGGCGAAGGCGACUUUCUGGACGGAUACUGACGCUGAGGCGCGAAAGCGUGGGGAGCAAACAGGAUUAGAAACCCUAGUAGUCC
rnacentral:rRNA from 1 species